rnacentral:rRNA from 1 species
UUGUUGGUUUGGUUUCGCGACCAAGGUAAUGACUAAGGGAGACUGUCGGGGGCAUUUGUACUGCAGCGCUAGAGGUGAAAUUCUUGGACCGUUGCAAGACAAACGACAGCGAAAGCAUUUGCCAAGGAUGUUUUCGUUAAUCAAGAACGAAAGUUAGAGGUUCGAAGGCGAUCAGAUACCGCCCUAGUUCUAACCAUAAACGAUGCCAACYAGUAAUCCACCGAGCGUUAUGAUUCCAAUGACCAGGUGGGCGGCUUCCCGGGAAACCAAAGUCUUUGGGUUCCGGGGGAAGUAUGGUUGCAAAGCUGAAACUUAAAGGAAUUGACGGAAGGGCACCACCAGGAGUGGAGCCUGCGGCUUAAUUUGACUCAACACGGGGAACCUCACCAGGCCCAGACACUGGAAGGAUUGACAGAUUGAGAGCUCUUUCUCGAUUCAGUGGGUGGUGGUGCAUGGCCGUUCUUAGUUGGUGGAGUGAUUUGUCUGGUUAAUUC